rnacentral:rRNA from 1 species
AAUGAACGUUGGCGGCGUGGAUUAGGCAUGCAAGUCGAGCGGGUGUAGCAAUACACCAGCGGCGAAAGGGAGAGUAAUACGUGGAUACCUACCCUCGGGCCUGGGAUAGCUUCGGGAAACUGAAGGUAAUACCAGAUAACGUCCCCGGACCAAAGGUGUGAUUCCGUCCGAGGAGGGGUCCGCGGCCUAUUAGCUAGUUGGUGAGGUAACGGCCCACCAAGGCGAAGAUGGGUACGAGGCGUGAGAGCGUGUCCUCGCUCACUGGGACUGAGACACUGCCAGGACACGUACGAGUGGCUGCAGUCGAGAAUCUUCGGCAAUGGGCGCAAGCCUGAUCGAGCGACGCCGCGUGCGGGAUGAAGGCCUUCGGGUUGUAAGCCGCUGUCAGUAGGGAGGAAUGGUUUGGGGGUUCUCCCCCAGAUUUGACCUAUCUGCAGAGGAAGGACGGGCUAAGUUCGUGCCAGCCGCCGCGGUAA